ACACGUCAUCUCUGUGCUUCUUUGUCUACACUUCUGGAAAAAGUAAGUGAUUACUGACGCCAUUGCUCUUUCCCGAAUGUAGACAAAGCAAUACCGUGAUGACGUUAU
rnacentral:pre_miRNA from 1 species